UAGAAGAUCUAGGAGAGCGCCUUUUCCUUUUCUUCGCUCAUCCCUGGCCUCUCAACUGCAAAGUAAAAAUGUCAGGGAACAGAGAAUUUCAAAGUGGAAUUUCCCCACGGAGUAUUGAGAAAUUUGGAUGAUUUCUGUGGUUAUGGAGUACCCUUUCACCCUGAAGAGGCCUGGGGGCGAAGCGCCACCUAAUCAUAAUAAUUCACUGGUGUCUCAGGAACGUGGAGCACAGCAUUGGGAACUUAUACUGAGGAUAGAAUGGCACACAGUGCAAUGAAAUCUCUCAUGGGAAGAGAGCAAAUAAGUUACUAG